rnacentral:lncRNA from 1 species
GACGGCAGGCGGGAGCCGAAAGCUGGUGCGGCAUAUGGAGCCCCCUCCUCCCCCCGGCGCUGCGUGCAGUCUCCCUGGAGAUGGGCCGCGCGGGCUUUUCCAGCGCCGGGAGGAAGCGGAAAAAUAUUUACCUCGCCCCCCCCUGCAGAAGUCUGUUCUCGUUAAGGCAGUAAAAAGCAGACGAGGUGCGUAAGGUGGCGAGSAGCCUCGGCGCUGGGCUCCGGCCUCAGCGGAGCGAAGGCUGUUUUCGGCACGGCUUUGCACGGCACCACGGCGCGGGGAGGGGGGCGACUGGGGGGGGGUCACGAGAAACCAUCUGAAGGGAAAUCGCAAACUGGAGCCCAGCGGGCAGAGGAGCUGUGCCGGCGCUGGGAUGAGAGGUGGCAGGGACGCAUGGACGUACGUUGCCUGUCUGACCCCCGGCAGAACAGCUCGUUUGGCUUUGCCCUUGCAGAUGAACGUGCCCGGCUGGGUGGAAAGCCUUCCCAGGUACGGCCGGGCCGGGUGCUGGGGGGGCACGAGGAGGGGCACGGGCACCGGCUGCUCCACGGYCCCGCUGGACCGCCCCGCGGCGGCAAGGCCAGCCCGAGCUGGCAGAAAUAACGCCUUUGUCCUGUCUUCUAGCACUUUCCCCCCCCACCCCAGGUUUUCUUCCACUUGUCUGUGUUUUCAAGGGUGGGGGGCAGCGCCUCUGGCUGCAGGUGAGCCACUCUCAGUACUUUUUCCCCUUUGCACGGUGCUUUUUCCCCAUCGCGUGAUGCUUUGUCCCCAUUUCACGGUGCUUCUUCCCCUUUGCACGGUGCUUCUUCCCCUUUGCACGGUGCUUUGUCCCCAUUGCGUGAUGCUUUUUCCCCACCGCACAGAUGCCGCCGCUCUGAACUUGGCACCAGAAUGCAAAACGGGGUGGAAACCCCCCCCACGCCGGAGCAGCAAAGUGGAGCUGCCCCCCAACCACAGGCCUCAGCCCGCAGCGCGGCCCCGGCAGCAGCCUCCUCUGACGUUUCCUCUCGCCCAGAAUAACCGUCACCCGACGCCGAUGCCGCGCGGGGAGGCUCGCACGGGCCGCUUGGGAAGAAGAGCAGAGCGAGCAUCGCAACGUGUUCCUGCCUCUUCCCCACGGACCUCGCUGCUCCCUGCGAGGGACACGUCCUCUGAAUGUCUGAAUGCGUCGCUCCCUUCCCGAAACGUGCUCCCUAGAGAUGCUGAGCGAGUUGCCACACGCUCUGCUUCAGAAGGACAAGCAUCGUCUUCUGCAUGUGCGUCUCACUCUUGGCUGCUUUCAGCGGCCCCGUUACCUGCCAGGACCUCCACGGCCCCAGGUCCUGGGCGCACCGUGGGUGCUGCCUGCGCCCCAGCGGGGCCGGGGCGGUCGAAGGGGGCUGCCGAGCUCAGUUCCAGCGGACGCAGCAGAAGAGGCUUCCCCUGCCUGGAGGAAUCAAGAUCACUCAGGCGGACACUUCAGGAUUGCUCUUGAAGCCCUGGGUCAUGCCUGCAGACACCGAGCAUCUCUGCCCACGUCUCACAUCACUCCCAGCACCUCUAGAAAUGCAGCAGAAGAGCUGGGUGCCUGUCUCCGCCUGACACGCGAAGCAGUGUGCUCGGGAGGCCGGGCUCUUUCCCCGCUCAUCGAUCCCAAAUAUUCCUUCUAUCUCUCUUCCCGGCUGGGCGCGAUGCUGUGAGGUCACAGGAUGCAAUCCCAAACAGAUGUUUGACACACAGACGAUCUGGGACACAGCGGGGGACUGGCUGCACGAGGAUAAGGACGCCGGAUGAAUUUCUGAUGCCACAAGCUGCUCCAAGGAUUGCGUUCUUGGUGCCUCCUCAGCACUUCCCACCGGCUUCUCACGGGUCAGAGCUGGUCCAUUGCUGAUGGCAAGGUGAGGACCGUUAGUGCCCCGUGUCCUGGAGCCCCRUCCAGCCUCUGAUGGAGAAGAUGCCAUCCAGCUGUUUGCUCUCCAUCUGGAAAUGCUCCAACUGUGCCAACAGCGUGGCCGGACCAGCCUGCUCCUGCUCAGCAAGUCCACGGCAAGGUUUGCUCCUCCUCAAGGGCAAGGUCAUCUUGGGAGAGCCUCACUCAACCAGGGUGAGGAGACACCCUGGGAACCGAGGGAAGGAGAAGUUCUGAGUGCAGAGGAAAUGUUAGACACGGCCUUUUUUGCCAAAAGAGAAGGGCUUUUCUCCCUCUGGCAGGUAAGUCCUGACACGGGGGCUGAGGAGGAGACGGGAAUUUACACGUCAAGGUCUUCACAUCAAAGCGAUCCUCAGACGGAGGCUCUGCAGCUGUAGAGACAAGCUGUCAGUGGGUGUUUGCAUUCUUUAACAUGCCAAAGGACGUUUUAAAGCAGUUUCUCCUGCACAAAAAAAAAUGAAAAAAAUAAACACCGAUUUCUCCCCA